rnacentral:rRNA from 1 species
AUUGAACGCUGGCGGCAGGCCUAACACAUGCAAGUCGAACGGUAGCACAGAGAGCUUGCUCUCGGGUGACGAGUGGCGGACGGGUGAGUAAUGUCUGGGAAACUGCCUGAUGGAGGGGGAUAAUUACUGGAAACGGUAGCUAAUACCGCAUAACGUCGCAAGACCAAAGAGGGGGACCUUCGGGCCUCUUGCCAUCGGAUGUGCCCAGAUGGGAUUAGCUAGUAGGUGGGGUAAUGGCUCACCUAGGCGACGAUCCCUAGCUGGUCUGAGAGGAUGACCAGCCACACUGGAACUGAGACACGGUCCAGACUCCUACGGGAGGCAGCAGUGGGGAAUAUUGCACAAUGGGCGCAAGCCUGAUGCAGCCAUGCCGCGUGUAUGAAGAAGGCCUUCGGGUUGUAAAGUACUUUCAGCGAGGAGGAAGGUGUUGAGGUUAAUAACCUCAGCAAUUGACGUUACUCGCAGAAGAAGCACCGGCUAACUCCGUGCCAGCCGCCGCCGUAA